GAUCAUAGGUACUAUUUAAACGAAAACUGUCCAUUUUCUGUUUAUGAAAGGAAGGAAGGAACCAAGAGACCAAGUUGACAAGAGAUGAUGCGUCGUCAUCUAUUUUCUUGGAAUAUUUUCCCAUGAAUCAUGACUGGUGUCGUUUCAUACAGUCUGGAUGGAAGAGCUUACUUAGUACGUACUACAGUUUGAUUUGAACAGCUCUUGGCGGCAUAACAACGCCUAUUUCCACCACAUCAAGUCGUCGUCUAAGGCUUUGAAUAAUUAUUUUGAAGGGCAAACUUGCUGAAUGUUGGGUCGUUUGCUGCCUUUGCCUUUCUAUAAACAAAUUCAACCAAAUCUGCAAAAUCAACUCCUCUCUUUUCUUCCCUCAAAUGUCCAGCCAGGCUACACCACUUGUUCCGAAGAUUCUCCCUCAGAAGAACCUUCCUUCCUUCAUCAGUUUUUUUGAUUAGCAUCAGGAUUUUGGGAAAUGCCUGUUGUUUAAUGGUACUACAUG